UUUUGCUGUUUUCAGUCAUUGCCGGCGUUGAACAGGGACCAAGUAAGUGAAGCCAUGGGCCAAGACACUAUGUAAUAAGUGGCAACAACGUGAGGGCUUCCCUACCCGCUCCUUGCUGUGUGGCCGCCCUCCAAGCUGCAUGAGUGUCUUGUACUCUUGCCAAGACCUCUUCCCUCGUUGGCUGCCAACGGAGCCCUGCCGUCCACAGGUCCACAGACAUCUGGGAGAAGAGCCCUGACAAAAGUAAAUGUUGCUACCAUAUGGGAAGGAGAACAGAUCAGCAAAGAUACUUCUUGUACAUGCUGACUAGGCCUGAAGAGUGAUUCAUUUUCUCUGGUAGUCCAAGCAAAUGAUAUCGGCCUUGUCCGUGACCGUACCUUCUUCCUCUCCCAUGGGGUCCCUCUGUCAGUCCCUCAACCCCAGUCAUACAAAACCAAUGGGACCCCUAAGAGAACAUACUGGCUGAACCCGUAGGAAGCUACAAAACUUGCACAAUAGGGUUAGGACCUGGGAAUUCCCAUACCCUUAGAACCACAUUGAUACUCUGUGCCUAAAGUUACUACCUAUUCUCUCCUAUUACUUAACUGAUGCAAUCAGUAUUUUUCUUUGGAAGAAUCUC